ensembl:snRNA U6 U6 spliceosomal RNA
GUGCUCGCUUUAGCAGUACAUAUGCUAACAUUGCACUGAUACAGAGAAGAUUAAGACAUGGUCCCAGCACACGGGUGACAUGCAAAUUCGUGACGUAUUCCAUAUUUUU